UACGUAGGCAGCGAGCGUUGUUCGGAAUUACUGGGCGUAAAGAGUGUGUAGGCGGUGCUCUAAGUUCGGUGUGAAAUCUCCCGCUUAACUGGGAGGGUGCGCCGGAAACUGGAGUGCUCGAGCGUGGGAGAGGAAAGCGGAAUUCCUGGUGUAGCGGUGAAAUGCGUAGAUAUCAGGAGGAACACCCAUGGCGAAGGCAGCAAGCUGGGCCGCAUCUGACGCUGAGGCGCGAAAGCGUGGGUAGCAAACAGG
rnacentral:rRNA from 1 species